UGGCGGCAUGGCGGAG
rnacentral:tRNA from 1 species